UACGUAGGGGGCAAGCGUUGUCCGGAAUCAUUGGGCGUAAAGAGCGUGUAGGCGGCCCGAUAAGUCCGCCGUGAAAGUCCAGGGCUCAACCCUGGAAUGCCGGUGGAAACUGUCGGGCUCGAGUCCGGAAGAGGAGAGUGGAAUUCCUGGUGUAGCGGUGAAAUGCGCAGAUAUCAGGAAGAACACCCGUGGCGAAGGCGGCUCUCUGGGACGUGACUGACGCUGAGACGCGAAAGCGUGGGGAGCGAACAGG
rnacentral:rRNA from 1 species